UACGUAGGUGGCAAGUGUUGUCCGGAUUUAUUUGGCGUAAAGGGAGCGCAGGCGGUGACUUAAGUCUGAUGUGAAAGCCCACGGCUCAACCGUGGAAGGUCAUUGGAAACUGGGUCACUUGAAUAUAGAAGAGGAAAGUGGAAUUCCAUGUGUAGCGGUGAAAUGCGUAGAUAUAUGGAGGAACACCAGUGGCGAAGGCGGCUUGCUGGACGGCAACUGACGUUGAGGCUCGAAAGCGUGGGGAGCAAACAGGAUUAGAUACCCCGGUA
rnacentral:rRNA from 1 species